AGAGUUUGAUCCUGGCUCAGGACGAACGCUGGCGGCGUGCUUUAGACAUGCAAGUCGAACGCGAAAGCCCUUCGGGGUGAGUAGAGUGGCGAACGGGUGAGUAACACGUGGGUAACCUGCCCCUCGCAGGGGGACAACCGGGGGAAACCCCGGCUAAUACCCCGUACGCUCCGAGGUCCGCAUGGUCCUCGGAGAAGAGGUAGCUUCGGCCAUCCGGCGAGGGAUGGGCCCGCGGUCCAUUAGCUAGUUGGUGGGGUAACGGCUCACCAAGGCGACGAUGGAUAGCUGGUCUGAGAGGAUGAUCAGCCACACUGGGACUGACAUACGGGUCAGACUCCUACGGGAGGCAGCAGUCGGGAAUUUUGGGCAAUGGGCGAAAGCCUGACCCAGCAACGCCGCGUGAAGGAUGAAAUUUUUCGGAAUGUAAACUUCGCAAGAACGGGAAGAAUAAGUAGAAGCUAAUACCUUCUAUGAUGACGGUACCGUUUGUAAGCUCCGGCUAACUCCGUGCCAGCAGCCGCGGUAAUACAGAGGGGGCAAGCGUUGUCCGGAUUUACUGGGCGUACAGCGCGCGCAGGCGGCGCGCGACGUGCCGUGUGACAGUCGGGGGCUCAACCCCCGCCGGCCACGGUAGACGCGCGUGCUGGAGGCAGGGAGAGGGAGGUGGAAUGCCCGGUGGAGCGGUGAAAUGCGUAGAGAUCGGGAGGAACACCAGUAGCGAAGGCGGCUCGCUGGGCCAUUCCUGACGCUGAGACGCGAAAGCGUGGGGAGCAAACAGGAUUAGAUACCCCGGUAGUCC
rnacentral:rRNA from 1 species